rnacentral:tRNA from 1 species
GACUUAAAAAAUCCGUUGGCUUU